rnacentral:misc_RNA from 1 species
GCAAGACGCGGCAAAGUUCUACGACCGCAGUGAGCAGGAUGCUGCAAAGUUUUAUGACCGUCGCAGCGAACAAGAUGCCGCCAAAUUCUAUGAUCGCAGCGAGCAGGACGCAGCCAAGUUCUACGAUCGCAGUGAGCAAGAGCGGCGAAGUUUUAUGAUCGCCGUAGUGAGCAGGAUGCUGCCAAGUUCUACGACUAAGGCACUUGAGCGGCGAGAGGAUACCUCAAGAGGUUGGGCUGGGAUCUCGUAUUCUCUCAUAGCAAUUGACAUGGGCUCUUUCUGCCGGCGGACAGAACUGAGUAGCUAAGGUAUCAAGGAUAGUCUCGGGUUCAAACGGUGCAAUUAGCUGAGCUGCAUCAUCACGCU